UGGACCUCAUAACUAAAUGGCUGGGAAAGGAAUCUGGGGAAAUGGAGAAGCGCAUCCGCUCAGUGUAUAUCAGCAACCCCAAUCUCGCUUUACAAAAAGAAUGGAAAAGAGUGCUAUGCUGCAGCAGAAAUCACUGAAAGGUCACUGUUUCAAUGGUUGGGCAGUUAUGCUAAGAUUUCAGCUAAAGAUCACACCAAAUUACGUGCACUCUGGGAUUUGCUUAUGGAAGUGCUAAAGAAGAUGGUUAUCUUACAGGUCUGUCAUACCUCGACACUUCAUGUGGAAUCACACCAAUUGUGUAGCGCUUACUCUCUGGGCAAUAUGAACCCAGACUCUGGAUAUUUGUGUUUUACCAGCACACAACAGAUCUCAUAAAACCUUUCCCUUGGUUUCUAACAAGAAAAUCCAAGAACAGACUCAAGGGGGGGCUCACCAGUCCAAACCCUACUCAGAACCAGUGGAAGGCUGAGCCAAAUCCAGAAUACAGGCUCCAGAACAUCUUGUUACAUCAGACAGAGGACAUCAACCGAACAUGAAAAGGGGGAGAACAAACAAAUAACCUGACCUUGAAUAGACAAUGUCUUAAAACAAUCAUCAAUAUAUUCAUUGUAACAACAUACAAUAAAGUUUUAACUCAUGAAAGUAAACUAAUCACCAUAAAUCACACAUUUCACACAGAACUUGUGCAUCCUGAAUAUAUGUACAUGCAUUCUUCAAUUACAGAAUACCUUCUCCAUAUAUGCAAUGUCUGUGAUUGUUGUUUUUCCACAAAACCCACUCAUUAAUAUAUGACUGAUUGCUU